GUAUAUACUCGUGUAUAAGUCGAUCUCAUGUAUAAGUCGAGUGCAGUUUUGUGACCAACAAUUGUGAAAUAUGCUAUGCCUCGUGGAUAAGUCGAGGGUAAAACGUGGGGCUAUGAAAUUCUGUGAUUUUUAUAAUUAUAUACGCACACACUCAUACAAACACACACUCUGCAUUAAACACACACACUUAUACAAACACACACUCUGCAUUAUAUAUACACACACACACACACACACACUCAUACAAACAUACACUCUGCAUUAUACACACACACUCAUACAAACAUACACUCUGCAUUAUACACACACACUCAUACAAACACACUCUGCAUUAUAUACACACACACACUCAUACAAACACACACUCUGCAUUAUAUACAAACACUCUGUGUAUAUAAUGCAGAGUGUGUGUUUGUGUAGUGUGUGUGAACUGGUUGGGGGGAGGGCAUUUUUAUUAUUUAAAUUUUUUUUUAUUUUAAU